GUGGUGCUGCUUAUAUAGCAGUUUGAACCGACCUACUGUUCUAAAUGAGCUAAGCUCUUACGUCAUUCCAAAACACCACGUCACUGCUGACCUAUACUACUUCCUUAGACCAACUACCCCAGUUGGUCCGCGUGAGGAGAGGGAAGGAGGUGCUGGACAUGCCCACGUCUCGCACGGAAUGUGGCGCACCCAACUCCCCUCCUAGCCUGCCUCACAGCGCAAGCGCGUCCGCCGCACGCGCCUCCUCAGCCGAGCUCUGCCCGGCGGUCUUGGAGCCAUCGCCGGCGACGCCUUCCUUCGGCAUAUGCUUCGGCAUAACCUGAGGCUAUGAUACCAAUUGUUAGCCCAGAACUACUGCGACAAGAGAGUCGUGGCUAUCUAAUGGUUGUAUUUGCACUCAACUCACUAGUAACACACGCACUCACUAGUGCAGCUCAAGACACACACACGAGAUACUGGAGUACUACUU
rnacentral:rRNA from 1 species